rnacentral:lncRNA from 1 species
CCUCUCACCACCUGCUACCCACGCCUCCUCUCCCACCUAUAUAAACCCCCUUCAACGUAUCAAGAAAACACACACAAGUUUCUUGGGCCAUUUCUAGUUCUUAGCUUUCUUCUCCUUCUUAAUCAGGCACUUUUGAGUUAAAAAACACAUUUCAAUGGCAAAUUUAAAGGCUGUUUUGAUUCUUGUAGCAGUCAUGGCAUUUUUGUCAGCUGUAAUGGCCCAAGAAGUGUCAACACGGGCACCGGCGCCAUCUCCUGACCAGGGUGCCGGAAACUUCUUGCUGGUUUCAGGGGCGAUUGUGUGUUCUUCAUUGGUUUUGUCUCUUAUGGCCUUCAUCAAGAGCUAGAUUGUUUAUCUGUCAUGUUCAGAUUCAUUCUUACUGAGGAAUGAGGAUUGGUUUCAAAUAAAAAUUCUUCAAAUAAAAUAAGAACCGACAUGCUCGUAUAAAAAAAUGUUUUCUUUAUUUUUUAAUAUUUUUAUUACUAAUUUAAGUUCGUAUCGAUAUAGAAUCAACCCUUUAAGCUGAAUCAAUUUCAAAAUAUUGUUCUAUGUCACACAAUGAGUAAAAUUUCUUCAUUGAAUUUUUCAUGAAAUCUCAAUUGGAUUACUGAAUUUCAAUUUAAUUUUAAUUGAUUCUUUGAGCAAUAAUUUAAUUUUAAAUUUCCCUAUUAUGUUACCAGUUAACAUUUUAAUAUAAAGAUAUUGCCAUAAUCUUUACAUUAUCAUUUUCAUUUUGAGUCACGUAGAAAUUAUGUUGAAAAUCAAAUAUUAUAUAAUUGUCAAUUAAGUAAUUUUCAUCCAUUUAAAAGUCGCAAAUGAAAUUUACCUGAUAUAGAAAAUCGAUUCCUUGUUGGUUGGAUUCAAUAUUUUCCGGAGUCAUCACUCUUCUUCCGCGUGGCAUGUUCCCUCUCACCACCUGCUACCCACGCCUCCUCUCCCACCUAUAUAAACCCCCUUCAACGUAUCAAGAAAACACACACAAGUUUCUUGGGCCAUUUCUAGUUCUUAGCUUUCUUCUCCUUCUUAAUCAGGCACUUUUGAGUUAAAAAACACAUUUCAAUGGCAAAUUUAAAGGCUGUUUUGAUUCUUGUAGCAGUCAUGGCAUUUUUGUCAGCUGUAAUGGCCCAAGAAGUGUCAACACGGGCACCGGCGCCAUCUCCUGACCAGGGUGCCGGAAACUUCUUGCUGGUUUCAGGGGCGAUUGUGUGUUCUUCAUUGGUUUUGUCUCUUAUGGCCUUCAUCAAGAGCUAGAUUGUUUAUCUGUCAUGUUCAGAUUCAUUCUUACUGAGGAAUGAGGAUUGGUUUCUUAUUUUACUUUUCUGGGCUAUGAUGUGAGAGUAUUUGUAUAAUUUUUAUUGACUACACAUGAUAUUAUUCAUUUGUGUUUAGGUUACACACAUAUACAUAUACAUAUACAUAUGUAUACACAUUUUGUGUCCGUAUUAUUCUUAUUCUUGGUUUUAGUUAUAGAAUUGAAUUUUGAUUGUGCUUUAAAAUUAUUUUUGAUAAACUUGACCAAUAAUUUAUAUAUAUGUAUUCAAAAGAAUCAAUAUUUUUGUCACAAAUAGAAAGUGUGAUUAUAA